rnacentral:rRNA from 1 species
GACGAACGCUGGCGGCGUGCUUAACACAUGCAAGUCGAACGGUGAAGCGCCGUCCUUUCUGGUGGGUGGGGAUGAGUGGCGAACGGGUGAGUAAGACGAUAGUAACCUGCUCCCUUCUUCUGGAUAACCGCAUGAAAGUGCUGCUAAUACGGGAUAUUCUGGACCUGUCGCAUGAUGGGUCUGGGACAGAUUUUGUGUCGGUGGGGGAUGGGCUCGCGGCCUAUCAGCUUGUUGGUGGGGUGAUGGCCUACCAAGGCGGUGAGGGGUAGCCGGCCUGAGAGGGUGGACCGUCACAGUAGGACGGCGACACGGACAAGACUCCUACGGGCGGCAGCAGGGAGUCAUAUGGCACGAUGGGAGCACGCCUGAUGCAGCGACGCCGCGUGAGGGAUGGACGCCUGAGGGUUGUGAACCUCUUUCGCGAGUGAAGCAGUCCUGCAUCAUUUGUGGGUGGCUUGACGGUAGCUGGAUAAAAAGCGCCGGCUAACUACGUG